rnacentral:rRNA from 1 species
AACGAACGCUGGCGGCAGGCUUAACACAUGCAAGUCGAACGGAUCCUUCGGGAUUAGUGGCAGACGGGUGAGUAACGCGUGGGAACGUGCCCUUUGCUACGGAAUAACUCAGGGAAACUUGAGCUAAUACCGUAUGUGCCCUACGGGGGAAAGAUUUAUCGGCAAAGGAUCGGCCCGCGUUGGAUUAGCUAGUUGGUGGGGUAAUGGCCUACCAAGGCGACGAUCCAUAGCUGGUCUGAGAGGAUGAUCAGCCACACUGGGACUGAGACACGGCCCAGACUCCUACGGGAGGCAGCAGUGGGGAAUAUUGGACAAUGGGCGCAAGCCUGAUCCAGCCAUGCCGCGUGAGUGAUGAAGGUCUUAGGAUUGUAAAGCUCUUUCACCGGUGAAGAUAAUGACGGUAGCCGGAGAAGAAGCCCCGGCUAACUUCGUG